rnacentral:rRNA from 1 species
GACGAACGCUGGCGGCGUGCUUAACACAUGCAAGUCGAACGGAGAUUAUUAAUGAAGCUUGCGAUUUAAUAAUCUUAGUGGCGGACGGGUGAGUAACGCGUGGGCAACCUACCCAUAAGCGGGGGAUAACAGUUGGAAACGACUGCUAAUACCGCAUAAGCUAUAGAGGUCGCAUGACCUAAAUAGUAAAGGUGGCAUUUAAAGAUGCUAUCACUUAUGGAUGGGCCCGCGUCUGAUUAGCUAGUUGGUGGGGUAGUGGCCUACCAAGGCAACGAUCAGUAGCCGGCCUGAGAGGGUGACGGCCACACUGGGACUGAGACACGGCCCAGACUCCUACGGGAGGCAGCAGUGGGGAAUAUUGCGCAAUGGGGAAACCCUGACGCAGCGACGCCGCGUGAGCGAAGAAGGCCUUAGGGUCGUAAAGCUCUGUUGUAAGGGACGAAUGUUUAUCUGACGAACAGUCAGAUAAAGUGACGGUACCUUACCAGCAAGCCCCGGUCUAACCUACG